GGCGGCCGUAGCGCGGUGGUCCCACCUGACCCCAUGCCGAACUCAGAAGUGAAACGCCGUAGCGCCGAUGGUAGUGUGGGGUCUCCCCAUGCGAGAGUAGGGAACUGCCAGGCA
rnacentral:rRNA from 2 species